GAAGUGUGAAUUCUGGGCGGAGCCCUAAUCGUGUUAAGGCAUACGUAUUUUUAAAGUCAAACAUUUAAAGUUGUAGUCGGUCUUAAAAACAAGAUGAAUCGGCCGCUCGGAGACGGAAAAUUGUGCUUAAGUUUUAUUCAAGUUGAUUCUAAUAAUGUUUGCACUGAUGUAAACAAAUUAGUUAAUAGCAGUUUUAAAUUUUCAAUUGAUAAAAAUGAGAAAAAUACUAAAAUUGAAAACACUGGACGAUUAGGACUUUUUAGUAUUGACAACAUAUUGAGUAACUCAGAUUCUUAUUCAAAAUUAAAUUGUCGAACUAAGGAUAAUACUACUACCUUUAUACAGCCGGCAAGCGAAUCUAAAGAUGUUGAAGCGUUCCACUCGAUUCAGCAAAUUCAAAUUAAGAAGAUAUUAUACGAAAAUAUUGCUUUAAAAAACGGAAGCUGCCCUCAAUUACCAUUGACAAAUGAUAUGAAUAAUGGGUCCUCUUCUGAUUGCCAAUCGAAAAAUGUUCUUCCAGCUCAUAUUACUAAUCCGAUAAAAUUUCAAGGAAAUCAAUUUAAAUAUCAGCUUACUGACAGAAAGCCUCGCCAAGCCUAUAAUGCCUCUCAGUUGGAUCGUCUCGAAAAAGAAUUCAUUAUAGACAAAUAUCUUAGCGUUAGUAAA